GGGCGCGUAGCUCAGUGGUAGAGCGCUUGCUUCACACGCAAGAGGUCACAGGUUCGAUACCUGUCGUGCCCA
rnacentral:tRNA from 1 species